GGGGAUGACCUGGCUUCGACGUGGGUUACAAAACCUGAGGUGCAUGCCGAGGAUGUAGACACCUCGUAAAUCAUUCUGCACUUUUAUAGUUGCCAACGACGACAACUACGCACUCGCUGCUUAAUAACCAGUAGAAUGCCGUCUGACUGAAGCCGUGCUUAUGCGUUCAGAUUCCAGGCGUCGACUCUCAUAAGAUCGCAAUGAAGCAUGUUCAGUGUGGAUUUGUUAAACACUUAUCUGAGCUCGCUAUCUGUUCUCCCUGCCCGUCGGGUAGCAGAUAGCUAAACUAAUAGACCGGGAUAAGCAUGUAGAGCCGAAGGCGGAGGAUUCGCGGACGCGGGUUCGACUCCCGCCAUCUCCACCA
rnacentral:tmRNA from 1 species